UACGGGGGGGGCAAGCGUUGUUCGGAAUUACUGGGCGUAAAGGGCUCGUAGGCGGCCAACUAAGUCAGACGUGAAAUCCCCAGGCUCAACCUGGGAACUGCGUCUGAUACUGGAUGGCUUGAAUCCGGGAGAGGGAUGCAGAAUUCCAGGUGUAGCGGUGAAAUGCGUAGAUAUCUGGAGGAACACCGGUGGCGAAGGCGGCAUUCUGGACCAUAACUGACGCUGAUCCGCGAAAGCUAGGGGAGCAAACAGGG
rnacentral:rRNA from 1 species